rnacentral:rRNA from 1 species
UACGAAGGGGGCGAGCGUUGUUCGGAUUUACUGGGCGUAAAGAGCGCGCAGGCGGUCGUUCAAGUCGAGUGUGAAAGCCCCCGGCUCAACUGGGGAGGGUCAUUCGAUACUGAUCGACUCGAAGGCAGGAGAGGGAAGCGGAAUUCCCGGUGUAGUGGUGAAAUGCGUAGAUAUCGGGAGGAACACCAGUGGCGAAGGCGGCUUCCUGGCCUGUUCUUGACGCUGAGGCGCGAAAGCUAGGGGAGCAAAACGGGAUUGAGAU